GCCAGGCAUGGUGGCGCACACCUGUAAUCUCAGCAGCUCAGGAGGCAGAGGCAGGAGGAUUGCAAGUUCAAACCCAACCUCUGCAACUUGGCAAGGCACUCAGCAACAUGGUGAGACCCUGCCUGUC
rnacentral:sRNA from 1 species